rnacentral:lncRNA from 1 species
UUUUUUUUUCUAGAUCUUGUUAACUGUUGAAGAAAAAAUUCAUGCAUAAGUUUAAUUAAUAUGUGGUGAUCGAACACAUCAUCCAUGUUAUUAUUUAAAAUGAAACCCUUAAUUAACUAAUUAAGUGGGGGUGCUUACGUAGCUCAUGCAGACCCUAUUCUGAAGUAAUUACUUGUCUCAAUUUUGGGGAUUGAUCCUUCUGCAUGGAUUAGUAUUAGAAAUUAAUUAAUUAAUUAGUUUAAAUUGGUUGACUAAGAUCAUUUAGCGUAUCGAGAGAGUUGACUAACCUACACGUAAUUUCAUUGUUGGUGGAAAUUGCUAGGAAGCCCUCCUUCUAUACCCACUAAUAUACCGACUAACUUUGUUUCACCAUUAUUUUUUUUUCCAAAAUGAUAUUCAAUUUGUCAAACAAUUCCUAGGGAGGACUACCACUCAUAACGAGUGAAGCCCGGCCUCAUAAAAGAGUAGUUUGAACUAUUAUUUUUGUCUUCCAAUCACCCAUGUAUUAGAUACUCUUAAACAGGAGUAAACAUCCCAGACACUAAGCUCUACCCGACAGCAAAAGUCAAAGCAAAUAAGAAAUAAUUGUUCAUGCAGAAAGAAACAUCUGAAACUAAAAAAGCAAUAAACGACCCGUGGAGUCCGAAUUGGGGACACUCAAAACAUCAAACACUCAAAGAGGCCGAUACCUCGAGUGAGUUCUCACCGACAGAUCACUCCUCGGGUCAGGACCUGUUGUUCAGGCCUGCCGUUGUCAGGCCUCGAUCAAGUUGUCGUUGCAUUGAUGUCUCCUUAACAGAUGGUGGAGUGCUAGCCAUGGUGAUUGAAAGGAGGAUGGGGAAUCGACGACGAAGAUGAUGAUGAUGAUGAUGAUGACGAUCAUGACGAUGAUGAUGAUGGGGGAUCAGCGAUGAUGAUGAUGGUGGAAGAAAGAUGUCGUGGGCGGCGUUGGCAUUGAACCAAUAACAAAGGGUUAUAAAACCCUAAAAAUCGCCUCUCAACAGGAGGAAGACCACUUCUAUUUGACCAUUGUUUAUAGGGGUUACCAUAAUGACACUUGUUUUUUUAGCCAUUUUCACAAUGCAUGUCAAAUAUUAGUCGAUUUGAAAAUUUUAAAUUUUUUUUGUUGAAAUGGCCAAUUUCCAAAUGUUAACGAAUCGCCUUAAAUUAAGGAGUAGGAUCUCCCGUAUGAUACUAACCGAUGGGAAGAGGGAUACCCUGUAGUGCCAAAGUUGUAAAUACUACUAUCCUCACGCUUUAGAGUACAUAUGCAUAAGUUUAAUGGGAAUAUUUUCCUCUGUAUAUACUCUUUCUCCAAAAAACUAAUUUCUACGUCAUUCAUAACCUUACUAUCUUAUCCCACUUAACUUGCAAGGACUGUACAAGGCUGGAGCUGAGGAAGACUCUUGAAGCCAGCAAUCGUAUGUCAAAACCUCUUAUGUUCCAACUGGACGAAUUGGAUAUCCACCACGAAUCUAUAUCACCGGAUUUUUCAAUAUAAUUAAACCUAAGAAUAAAUCUAAUAAAAGUUAUAUGGACGUUUAUUAUAUAGUUCUUAUCAUUUACCGCUAAGCGAAUUAUAUUGCGGAUUGUUUGAUCAAUUCAGGUCUUUUUUUAUUACGAAUUACAUUUUCUUAAUUCAUUACAUAGAGGUUUGCCUCAUUGGUUACGUUAUGACUUUAUUAAUAUUUUGCUGCCUUAAACAGUUAAAUAUGCUUCAGCGCCGUAUUGUACCAAAGAAAACGUAUCUAUUUCUUACUAUAAUUAAGUAAUGAGUUUAUCAGAGUUCACGGACGACUUGGGAUCUUCUAAUCCUUUGAAUUAAUUGUAAUUAAAAGUGACUUUCUCGCAACUUCCUGGUUACUUCUCCUGGCACUACCAAUAUGUCAGCCAAAACUAAAGAUGCAGAGAAUGUAGCAAGUUAAUUAUUGGUGGAAAAUUAGUUGAAUUUUAAUAUAUGAAAUUUGAACCUAUGAAAAAUUGGAAUUUGAUUCAACGAGGGUGAUGCAAUUGUUCAUAUUUUUAUAUACUUGUGUAGAGACUAGAGAGACUAUUAUUGUAUUUUUGCAUGGUGCAUGCACCCAGACAAAUAGUUCACGUUAUUAUAUAUAAUCAGUCGCAUUAAGGUCUCCUUUCCAGAUUUUGUUCCGCCCGGUCGGUCGCCUAGGGCGAGCAAUAAGAGGUUAUAGUUUGUGAAAACCGAGUUUAAGUGUAAUCGUCUGAUCCAGAUCGUUUGAUCCAAUCUUGUGUAAUUUUCGUAGCAAGUGAUCAAAUGAUAUAAUCGUAGUGAGUUAAGGAAUGACAUACGUUUGUAGACAGCGGAUAGAAGGUGAAAUGGAUAAAGAUCAUAUGUAAAGAGGGAAUGUUGCCGCUGAAUUAUAUUUAUGAAAGUAUGCCUUCAGCAGGAUGCGCAAAAGCAAUAUUUAUAGUUCGAAACCGAGUAGUAUGGCUUCAUAUCCCAGCGGUUGAUCAGUCUGAGGUAGUCCACUGAAAUUUCGUCACAUAUGCUUGUAAGAGAUAACCUAAUCGUAACAAAUUAAGUCUGAUAGGCUUUUAGACUCAAUUGCCCAAAAACCACUAGAACCAGAUAGGUCAACCAGCAACGACGAGUCUUAUAUGGGCUUUCGCCCUAGCAGGCCCAUCAAAUUUGGUUUAUACGUUACAAUUAAAGUUUAAGUCGUCUUACUUGUAUCAUCUCCUACAUAGUAGUCGAUAUUCCAGCUUGACCGCGGUUAGAAAAUAGUCAUCUAAAGACAAACUAGGUUAUACUAUAUGUAGUAGUUCAUCAUGUAUUAUAAUUAAUAACGUACAAAGGUUCCGAGUACAGACUGAGUUCACUGCACUAGGCAACUGCUAACGUUGAAACGACUGAGUUUUGGCUGUAUUCGUCGUACGACGGCGGCUGAAUCAUGCGACAGCUACGGUUAAUCAUUUGUUUUUUGUUUCCUUGCCGGCCGGCUGAUGAUUGUUAAUUAAUUAAGUUUAGCCUGAUUAAUCCUUAAGAGUAAUUCGAUCAAUCUUAUGAUCCACUGAACAAAGCUCUGUUCUAAUAGCUAUAGCAGUUGCUUUUAGAUCAAUUGACGACGUUUAUGUAAGUUAUUAUUCAUUCAAAUAUUCAAUCAUGGUCACAAUUUUUCACUUGUAAAUGUCACAAAGAAAAUUAUAGACCAAGCCCAGACCCCCACGAGGGAGCUAAUCCAUCACGACUAGGUUUGCUUAUCUAAUAUAUGAAAAGAUUUUAGCGGACCACCUCAAUCUUAUGGGUAGUAUCGACUAUGUGAUUAGAUCUUAGCGGUUGUGUCUUCUUUGUUCAUUUCUCAUUUAUCUUUCCUAAUCAUGUAUGUGUCAUUCUUUAGCUUACUACCUUAUUACAUUACCUGGUUCCAAAGCAACUACAAAACUGGACCAUCAUAUAACAUUUAGACUCAACGAUCAUAUACCGAAACCUCUUGUUGUGCACCCUAGGUGAACAAUUCUUAGUCUAUAUAUGAAUCAAUUAAGAACCUUUUGCAACGAAUUAGAGCAGCUAUUGAGAGAAAUAAUUUCUGUAUGAGAUUAGAGUCCCCAUCUUGAUAUCAAAUUCUGACACUUGCAGAAGGCUUGUGGUGAGGAGUUGGACUAGUGAGGCUAACAUGCAGGAGGUAUGAACACAAAGUUUCAUGAAAAUUUGAAGCUAAGCCUAAUGAAAAAUAGAACCAUGGACUCUAUGUUGAUUGUGUUUGUGGCCCAACCCAGAUCUUGGCCCAAAGUUCCUUCCCGUCCAACGACAUUGGCCCAAAGUAUUUUGCAGUAACAGGUCCACCCCCCACAUCCACCCCAACACCCCCGACUUGUUUCAUUAUCCAUCCAAUUAUCGAACCCCCCGCCGUAAAUAAUAUAAAUAUUAAUUAGAAUAAAUUAUUAAAAUAUAAUUACUUUUGAUAAAAUAAUUUUUCCAGAUUAUAAAUAUAUAUCGUUGUAAAGCGGUUAAGUUGGAUGAGCGGCCAGGAUUGUAGCUAGCUUAUUGUUAGUUUGUUACAACCAUGAACGUUGGUUGCUGGUUGCCCCCGUUUCCAAUUUCCAGUGAAUCCCCAUUAUUCGGUGGUCCGAUAUCCACCGUUGGUUGCUAGCUAGUUGACACUUACCGUUACUAUUCAUUCUCUUAAAAUUCAAAAUUCCAUCGCCAUACAAAAUAUAUGAAAGUACGUCAAAGAUAGAAUUCGUAUGAAUUACUUUCUUCCUCGGUACCAAAGAAGACUAGGCAAGAAAAUUAAAUUGAUGACACCCUACGCUUCAUAUUCACAAAAACUGAUGUAUAUAUGUACUUACAUACAAUAAAAGUCACCUAGCCAAUCUCACUUUUUAGAUGGUUGAAAUGCCACACAUCAAUAAAUGCAAACUACCUCUCUCAACAACGGCAUAUCGAAAUGUUCAAUGCAUUAUAUUAAAUUAUACAUUGAGUUGUAAAUAUAUAAACAGUAUGUUACUUAACUCCAUCUACCAAAAUGCCAAAAGCAAAGAGAUGAAUUGAAUUCGACCCUCGAAAGUAAGUGUACUUCAACGUCUAUAAAUAAGAAUAAGUGUGAAAUGUACAGUUAUUCCGACCCAUGAUCCAUCUACCAAAGCCCAUAAAAAAAACCCCUUUGAAACAAAUUCGACAUCAAACUACUAAGAUCCUGAUUCCUGAAACUAUGGAGCUUGAAGCGCAGGCUCACAUCUUCUACCACUCUUUCAGCUACAUGGUCUCGUUGUCGAUGAAAUGCGCGGUCGAGCUCGGGAUACCGGACCUCAUCCACCGCCGAUCUCCCUCGCCCACUUCGCUGUCCACUCUCGUCUCGGCCCUCGAGCUGGACCCGUCGAAAUAUGAGGCCGUUAAACGCCUCAUGCGCCUCCUCGUCCACGCUGGCUUCUUCCAGAUACAAAUACAGGAAGAAGGAAGAGGUCAAGAGGAAUUUAAUUACCUUCCUACCCCUUCGACGAAGCUCCUCAUCACCCCUCAUUUGUUGUUGAACCUCGACCCGAAGAUACUCGCCACUUGGACGUCCUUCAGUGGCUGGUUCCGCGAAGGAGGCGGUAAAGGUGACGUGCCACUUUUCCAGGCGGUGAAUGGGUUGCCGGCGUGGGAGUACUUGGCUGAAAAUCCGGAGCUGAGGAAGAUGUUCUACCUCGCCACCGAUCAGGACUCCAGGUGAGAUAAUCACUGUCUAGUCAUCCAAAUUUCAUAUUGUAACAUCGCAGUCAUCUAAUUUCAUUCAAGUAACAUAAUGCCAUUUCCGCCCACUUAGUUUUUUUAAGGGGUGAAAGUGGGUCGGGACACUUGAUAACAACCAUAAUCGGAGAUUAAUUAAAAUGAUAUAAAAAGUUAAAAUAUAUGUUAAUCGAUUAACCAACUUACCUUUUGUGGGUGAUUAAUGAAUCAUCAAUUAACCAACUGAAGUGGACUGAUUUUAGUCCAAAUAAGUAUAAAAACAGAUUAUAUGAUUAGAAUCCAUAAUUGAAGGUCCACCCCAAUUUUUUUUCUCUAAAAUUAACAACUCAUGCUAAUGUAUUAUUCAAAAUGAUAUUUAAUAAAUUUAUCAACUGAAUGACCCGAAUACGAAAUUGAAGGGAAAAACAUGAUUGGGGGAUAAUAUAUUGAGCACUUUUUCCGUAAAAUAUAAAGAUAAUUUUUAAAAAAAUUAGAUGAUUUGGAUGACAAUUUUGUAGAUGAAGGAAUGAAAGUAGAUGAAAUUAUUGUUAAGUUGGGUGACUGUCAUGUUACAAGUAAAAAGUUAGGUGGUCACUUUGCACAGAACCCAAUUAAAAGUGACUGAAGAGUGACGGAUUAUGCUUUUGACCCAAUAAUUAAUCAAUUACAUUAUUAAUUCCUAUCCAAAGAAAUCUUGACUUCGCAUGCAUGCAGAUUGAUAGCGGAAGGGCUGGUUACGAGGUGCAAGGAGGUGUUCGACGGAGUCGAGACGCUGGUGGAUGUCGGCGGAGGUAACGGCAUCAUGGCCGUUGCCAUUGCUAAGGCGUUGCCAAAGAUCGAAUGCACCGUACUCGAUCUGCCUCACGUCGUCGUUAACUCGGAAGAGGGCGACGGCGUUGACAACGUCAAGUAUGUCGGUGGGAGCAUGUUUGAAAAAGUCCCGCCUGCCGAUGCUGUUCUCCUUAAGGUAUUCCUAUCAUAUAGAAAAUGUAGUUUUGGUGACCAACAAGUUAAUUAGGGACUGUUUUACCUCUAAACAGUCACUAAUAUAUCAAAAUGGUUAGUGACAACUUGAUUAUUGACUGUUUUAUGAAAUAAUCACAUACUCUCAAUCCAUAAAACUGCAUUUUCAUAUAGCGAAUAACGGGGUUCCGAUAAGCUUGAUUCCUUCAUCUACCGUAUUUUUACUACAAUGCAGUCAGUUCUGCACAAUUGGAACGACGAAAAAAGCGUGGAGCUAUUGAAGAUAUGCAGAGAGGCAGUCUGUGACCAAGAAGGGGAGACGAAGAAGAAGAAGAAAGGGAAGGUGAUACUCGUAGACAUGGUGGUUGAAAACGAGCAAGGCGGGACGGUGGAUGACAGAGAGUUGACUCAAGUGAAGCUCUGCUUCGACUUGUUGAUGUUGAGUUAUUGCAAUGGCAAGGAGAGGACCGAGAAGGAAUGGAAGAACUUGUUCAUGUUGGCUGGCUUUAGUGACUACAAGAUCGUUCAAUCUUUGGGCACGUUGACUGUCGUUGAAGUAUAUCCUUAAUUGGUGGUUUAAUUUGUUAUGUGGGGUGUUUUGUAAUGGGAGAAAUAAUAAGAUGGUAAUAAAAGGAUUUUGUGGAUUUGUUGCUCUAAUCGUUGUUAAUUUAUAACUAGUUAUAUCGGAGUUGAUUGUAAAGGUUGAUCGUGCAUAUAUCACUUUUAGUUAUCGGUCUGUCCUUAAUUAUAUUCGGGCGGAGCAGGUUUGAUAAAUCUAAACCGAUAAGUGUUGAUGUCUCGACCGGAAUGUUUUACUUGUCGGAUCGGAGGGAAGGAGAGUGUGAAGGGUUCAAUUAGUGUUUAAGGCACAAAUGGAUUUUUUUAUUGCUCGAAUAUACACUAUCAGAAGAAAGACCUUUAGCCACCAAAAAUUCGCAUUUUCAUUAACUAAAGGUUGAGUGACUCAUCAACGAGCCUCAAAAAAAAACUUAGAGAUAAGUGCAAGUGUAUAUCGCUUGCUGAAAGGUACGCACCUGUUAUGUUCACCAUUCUUAGGGAUGCUGGUUUCAGGUGGUUACCUCGCCUAUCGAAAUUCUGUUCAAAAACCUCAUCUGAGAACUUGUAUAGAGAAGGAUUUCCUGCGGCGCAGCAGUUCUUCCAUAGUUCCUGUAAGUUAUAAUUAAGUAGCUUAGUCGCUUGACUUUUAAUCAAAGAAAAUGAGAUUUUUUGGUGACUAAAUAAUUCUUUUUUUUAUAGUGAUAAUUAAGUUAUUGCUUUAGUUUAGCGAUUAAUAACGAAUAGUUAACUUCGUAAUUGAAGAAUUAGCUAUCUACUUAUAUGAGGAUUGACACAUAAUAUAAUUUCGUUCAACCAUCAUUAUUUCGGUAGGUGCAUUGAACAUACGAGUGAUGAAACGGAAUAAUCAUGUUAAACAUAACCACUUAAAACCGACAUAAUUAAUUACUUAUAAUCACAUCGACCAUCAGAUUAACCAUUAAUGAUGCGAUUACCCUUUAAACCAUAAUUUCAUUAUAUAAAUGUUUAAGUAGGCCGUCACUAACACAAAAGGCUUCUAGAGACUCGUGUUCUAUUUGGACUUGUGCAGAAACAGGUAGUGUACAAAAGGGACAUGCAAAGGAUGAAUUGAACACUUAUGCUUUUGUCGAUUUUCAGGGCUUGAAUGUCAACAACCGAAAAGAACAAGUUCCAAAUAGUAACAAACAAAAUGUCCGAGUCCUCUCUUUAGCUUCAUGCACUUGUCUUUUAACUAUUAUGUUCUACUCACCAUUAAACAACACUAUCUCCCCAUAAAAAGCUAUUAAUACUCUGUUAGGGUAAAUGGUAAUUUUGUCCCGCCAAGUUAACAGACUGCCAAAUGAAGAUAUGAUGAAAUGUGAUCUAUUACGCUGUAUGAUAACCCACUUAACAAUAAAAUUAUUUUGUUAAUUUCGUCAUUAAUAACUACAGAGUACGUAGCACCAAUCGAAAUUGAGACUAUCUAAAGAGAUCAUAGGGAACUAGUUAGUGUGCCAGGGUGCUAGUGCUACUCAUCUAACAGGCGGAGGCCGAAUCUGAGAUUUAUGACCCUCAUUAGCAAGAGUAUCCGCAAGAAAAUUGACUUCAUGAAACACAUGUGUAAGCUCGAUGGAUGACUUAUUAUUGUUGUAAUAACUUCUAGAAUUGUAUAAUCAAAUAUGUGUUGAGUGAUCGAUGAUGACUUAUUAUUUAUUUUUUCUCCAAAAUUAUGUAUUUUUUGAGAAAAUAAUUUCGAUUUUUUAACAAAAUUAUUUUCGAUCUUUCUUUGUCUUGGCGAUAUAUAAUAUCGAGAAUUGAACAUCAAUUCCCAAUCAAUUGCAAAAUAAUAAUGGUGCAAAAAAAAUUACGAAAUUUAAAAAUACAAUUUUAUAAAAAUCGAUCUAAAUUCGUCCACUCACAAUAUCACCCUUCAAUAUUUAUAUUUAUACAUAACCUCUAAAGACCUAGGAGGACCAUCCAUCCUCAAUCCUCUCCUACUCAAACCUCCCACAACAAAAGAUGACACAAUACUCAACCGCCGUCAAAACCACCGCCGAACUCCAAAUCUCCCCGCCGCCGAACACCCUCCCUCCCACAACCACCAUCCCACUCACAGUCUUCGACGUCCCAUGGCUAAUCUGCCACCCAGUCCAACGAGUCUUCUUCUACCACAUCCCAACAAUCUACACCGCCGAAUUCCACAACUCAAUAAUCCCCAAACUAACCUCCUCCCUCUCCGCCGCCCUCGUCCACUUCUACCCUUUCGCCGCCAAACUCAUCUCCCCUCCCAUCCCGACCAAGCCGUACAUCCUCUACUCCCGAAACGACGCCGUUUCCUUCACCGUCGCGGAAUCCACCGCCACCCUCGACUUCCACCAAGCCGCGUCAAACUCCCCCACCGACGUCCGUUUGCUCCACCCUCUUCUCCCCAAACUCCCUCCCGUUAAAACAAACCCCGACAGCGUCACCACAGAAUCAAAGCUCUUGUCUUUAAAGGUCACUCUGUUUCCAAACUCUGGUUUCUCCAUCGGAUGCGAGUUCCGCCACGUGGCGGCUGACGGCUUAGCCUUCAACCACUUCGUCAAAUCAUGGGCGGAAAUUUCCAAAUCCGGCGCCGUUUUGGAUGAAUUCUCGAAAUUGUCGAUUUCUUCGCCGCCGUGUCACGACAAGGAGUUGAUAGAGGAAAACAGAGUGUUGGAGGAUAAGUUUCUGGAGAAUUUCUGGAGCUUCAAAUCGCCAUGGGAAGGGGAUGCACUUGAAUGUCUCCUCGCUGACAAAGUCCGGGCGACGUUCUCCAUCUCCGGCGAGCAAAUUUCGAGGAUGAAAGCUUUGGUGAACGGUGAUGGCGGGAAAUUGAAGCUGUUGUCGCCGCCGGCGACAACUUUCACGGUGACUAGUGCUUUGAUAUGGAGCAGUUUGAUCAAAUCUCAACUGACCGAAAUCCUCCUCGCCGGCGGCGAGGUGGAGGAAGAUGAAGAUAAAUUAGACUGCUAUGCGUUCCCGGUGGACUGCAGGGGAAGGAUGGACCCGAAGCUUCCGGCGGGGUAUUUUGGUAAUUGUUUGUCCGGGGGAAGGGUGUUGGUGAGGAGGAAGGAUUUGAUCGGAGAUUAUGGGAUUGUUACGGCGGCGAGGGAAAUUGGCCGGAGGAUUAAGGAGAUUGGAGCGGAAGGAGCGGUGAGGAGCGUGGAGAAGUAUUAUUCGUUUUCGGAGUGGGGAGAGAUUUUGAGGCAGGGGGUUAAGCUGGUUACGGUGGCCGGUUCGGCCAAGUUGGGGGUUUACGAGACCGAUUUCGGGUGGGGCAGGCCGUGUAAGACGGAGCCGGUUCAUGUGGAUUUCUCUGGGUCGGUUUAUUUUUCGGACGGGAGGGACGUGGAGAAGGGUGGGAUUGAGUUCGGGUUGUCGUUGAAAAGAGCCGAGAUGGAUUCGUUUGUGGCCGUGUUCGAGUCGCAGUUGGCUCGAUUUCGAGGUUGAGUAGGGAGUAAGCUCGUGCUAUAAAAGAUGUAAUAAAUGUUUGUUUGUGGAUUGAUUUGAGUUACUUGGUGAAAACAAUACUAUUGUCUUAGAUUCCUCAUGUAUGUUACUUUUUUCCUUUUCAUUUAUAAAUAUCUAAUCUUAGUCGUUUUUUUUACUUUCAUCUGCCAGUAUCCAUGCCAUAUAUUAGAGUGAUUCGUGUCUAUUGGGUAUAGCGAACGAGAAUAAAGUAAAUAUAUUACACUAAUAAAUUAUAUAUCGUAAUAGUUUUUAGGCAGGUUGAAAGUGGCGGUAGUCCGCCACACAUAAAAUCAAUAUGGAUGGGUGAUUAUCACCCCAAUACCAUAAUGACGACAAUUAAGCCAACCUCCUUAGACCAAUUUACUGUAGUAAUAUUAAUAACGCAAUAUACAACAAAUAUUCUCAAAAUUGCCAAGCACAAAACGGUAAGUAAAUCACACCAGAAUUUACGUAGUUCCCCUCCAAUGCGGAGAGUACAUCUACGGCAGCAGCGACAGCUACCAGUCCAUCCAAAAAAAAAUAAAAACCCAACCCNNNNNNNNNNNNNNNNNNNNNNNNNNNNNNNNNNUCUCUCAAGUGUUUCCCAACCCCGAAACAACUACUCACUAUUUUUGUCGCUCACAAGAAAGUAUUCUUACCACAGUAAAACAUUUAUCGAAAUUUUCUAUCGCUCACCUAUCUACCAACAAUUGAGAUAACCAAUCUCAAUUAUGAACAAGUAAAGAAAUUUUACAAAAAAGAAAGAAAAAAAGACAUAAAGAAAGUAUUUUUAUUCUUCAAUUAACAUAGGUUAAAUUGUCUCACAUUUUCAUUUUUUUUAAUUAUAAACUUAAUUGUUUAUAUAUUUUCCAUAACAAAAAAAAUUUAUCUAUCUUUAUUUAUUUUUUAAAAUUUUCAUGACACAGACCAUUCUAAUUAAUAUUAAAUAGGAGCAACUACACGUACUUCUUGACUAUUUAUUGUCCAUUUGGAACGAUGUAUGGAAGUCCAUGGGAAUGGCAGUACCUCCAGUAUUGCCUUGAGAGGUACACAAACAAUUGACAAGCUGUUGUUUCUAGAGCUUUGAAAAGUCCGGCAAGCUAGCAUGUUGAUCGCAUGGCACCAAACACAGCAUCAUCCUCUUGGCUCCGAGGCUGAUGUUUGAAGUCAAGAUAUGGGUUUACGCAUGGGAUGAUGCCAGCCGGCGUAUCAGUGCUGUUGGACUGAUGUCUGAGACUUUGUUCCUACAGUUCCUUAAGAUCAGAUAAGAUAAACGUGUGUAUGUAUCGGAAUAGUUCGACCGAUUGGACCAUGUAUCGGUAUAUUAACGACCAAGUGCAUCAAUUAGUUGAAUAAUGAAUACUGAACCAACAACCCACGUACUGUAAACGUUAUUAGUUCAAUUUUUGACCAUUAUAGUAAUCCACAUUGCAAUUUUUCACUAGUUUAAGUAAAAUAUCUCCUUCUAGAUUUUCAUUGAUUAGGUUACUUUGUAUGAAGUUUAGCUUUAUUCCAAAUUUUCAAUAUUCGUUGCUAUCUAGCUUUAUUUAUUUGUACUAGUAUUCUUCCUCCGUUUUUGCACUCUGCAUAUAAAGAAAAAUAACAGAGGCCUCUCUGUUUUCUUCCACACACUUCUUCUUCUUCAAUCCCAACCUACAAAAAAAAAUGACCCAAUUUUCCUCCGCCGCCGUGAAAACCAUCGAUGAGCUGCAAAUCACACCGCCGCCGGGGACAGUUCUCGCCACUUCCACCCCGCUCAAUUUCUUCGACAUCCUAUGGUUCACCUGCCAUCCAAUCCAGCGAGUCUUCUUCUACCAUCUCCCAGAAAUCUCCAGUCUCCAAUUCCACAAUUCAAUCAUCCCCAACCUCACUGCCUCGCUCUCCAUCGCCCUCCGCUACUUUCACCCUUUCGCUGCGAAAUUCAUCUCCGUCCCCUUGCCAAACGAGCCCUACAUCCUCUACUCCGACGGCGACUCUGUUCCCUUCACCGUCGCCGAAUCCACCUCCCUCGACUUUAACAAAGUCACCUCCGACCAGCCAAACGACGUCAGAUUGCUCCACCCUCUCCUCCCAAAGCUCCUCCCGCCGGUUACCAACUCUGACGAUGGGUCGACGGUGUCCAAUCUCCUCUCCGUGAAGGUCACUCUGUUUCCAAACUCCGGAGUCUGCAUCGGGAUCGAGUUCCGCCACGUGGCUGCUGACGGGUUGGCGUUCAACCAUUUUGUGAAAUCCUGGGCUUCAAUUUCGAAAUCCGUAUGUAAGGAUUUGAGCUGGGUGGAAAAGAAUCCACCUUUGGUCGACAGGGGAUUGAUUAAAGAUCCGAAUAACUACGGCAAAGUGUUUCUGGAUCAGAUUUGGAAGGUCUCAGCUCCGUGGGAUGAAAAUUGCGUACAUGAUAAGCUCCUCGAUAAGGUCAGGGCGACGUUCGUGAUCGACGGCGACGACAUUUCACGGCUCAAGAAAUUGGUGAGUGCGUCGGCGUUCGUGGUGGCGAGCGCGUUCGUUUGGACCAAUUUGACCGAAUCGCUGGCCGGCGAAGAAGAUGGUGAUGAUGAUAAGAUCGACAGCUAUAUAUUUCCGGCGGAUUGCAGGGGAAGGAUUGAGCCGAAGGUUCCGGCGACCUAUUUCGGGAACUGUCUCGGCGGGGUUCUGGUGUCGGUGAGGCGGAGGGAUUUGGUCGGAGACGGCGGGUUUGCUGCGGCGGCGGGGGAGAUUGUGGCGAAGAUCGAGGAGAUGGUGAGGGAAGGACCGUUGAGAGAUGCGGCUAAUUGGCUUACGAAGUACGAGUCGAAUUUGAAAUCAGGGCGGACCGUUACAGUUGCGGGGUCGUCCAAGUUGCGGGUUUAUGAGACGGAUUUCGGUUGGGGCAGGCCGAGGAAAACGGAGCCGGUUCAUGUCGAUUUCUCCGGGUCGGUUUACUUUUCAGAUGUGAGGGAUGUGGAGAAGGGUGGGAUCGAGUUCGGGUUGGCGUUGAGUAGAGCUGAGAUGGACUCGUUUGUGAGUGGGUUCGAGUCCCGGUUGAACAAGUUGCGGGAGGUUAAUUGAGACAAGAAAGUUGAAACGGCGUGAAAAAAUUUGAUUUAGUCGCUUUGAUUUAAGAAAAAAUUAAGAUCAUAUUAGUAUUUUAUUCGGUUUGGCGGGACACAUAUGAUUUGUAUCUUUUCAAAUUUAAUUAUAAAUUUCAAUCUUAAUAAAUUAAGAAAACAUAUGUAACAUUCUGGCCGAUCGUACCAAAAGUACCAACUAAAUUAAUGUGGUACAUGGUAAUGAACAGAUACAGAAAAUAAUUUCCAUACAGAUAUGGAUAUGUAUGCACGGUAGAUUUCUUUUUAGCCAUGCACUACCUUACAAAAUAAGGGACACAUGGUAAGCUUGAGAUGUAGUCUCCCCAUCCAAUUUUUUCCCUCCUAAUGUAUGCAUGUAGAGAUUCAUGCAUCACGUAAGUCAAAUGGAUAAGGUAAACUAAUUAACAAAUUGGAGUUAUAUAUUAUAUAUCUCCUAUAAAAAGGUCUGCUUAGUUAGUUCAAAUGGUGAGCACUGAGAGGAGUUUCCUACAUAAAUGAGUUUAUUAUUAUUAAGGCUAUAUGCAUGAUAGGGUAAUGUCUGUUUAAUCUUAAGAUUUUAUAUGUUUCUUUAUCAUAUUUAUUACUUAAUAUGAUACAUGUUCUGCUACUUUGCUGAUAUAUCUGUUUUAAUAUAUGUGUUAAUAUGAGCAGUAACUAUUACUGAUUAUUGAAUAAAUCUGGUAAUUGAUUGAUCACCUAGUUAGGGCCCGUAUGCUGGCGAUUGUGUUUAUUGCACUUCUGUUACGCGGUGGGCCUUGGUAAGCGUCACAACUAACUAUUGUUGUGGGCUUUGAUAAGCGUCACACUAACUCUACGUGGGCCAUUUUAGUGCCACUAACUCUACGUGGGCGUCAGCAUAUGUGAGCGGGGAUCCCAAAUAAAAUAUAGAUAUAAAUUAGAUUAUAGAAUUAGUCUUAUAUGUUAUAUGUUGUAUGUUUUUUAUAUGAAUAUUUGUACCUUAGAGUGACUAGGACGUAGAUCCUCACUCAGUGAUUAACACUGACCCUUACUUUCCAUUUCAGAGUGACAUUCAGAGCGACAGUAGGCUUUACUGGGUCACACACUGCAAAAUGGUAUCAUCGAGCUCUGGGGUCGGUCAUCAUGGUGACGACACCAGGUAGAUAUCGAAGAUUGUGUCUUGAUCAUCGUUUUGUAUUUAAAGUUUGUUUGAGACUCUUACUUCCAUCAUGUGCAUAUGUUAUGAGUGGUUGUGUACUAGUACAAUGUGAGAUAUGGUCUUGUAAAAUAUAGUGGCCUUGAGGGCAAGUAUAUGGUUACUCUGGUCCGAGCCUGUGAAGCUCGAGACUUCUGUUCUAUAUGUAUAUGUGUCCUGUUGGACUUCUGGUAUAGUGUACUGUACUGUGAAAAGUCAAUACGUCAUAUAUGACAUAUUGAGCAGUUUUGUGUUGACGAAUUGAUUAUUUGAGUACGUAUAAGCACAAUCCUAGAUUAUGAUAAAGCAAUUAAUCGGAUGAGUGUAAACAUUAAAUGAUAUAUACGAUAUAAGUAGCGUAACACCCUAUUAUUACUUCGCUGUUUUAUUUUAAAACGAACAUGUCAGCAGUAUGAGUGUUACAAUAUAAGUAUUUAUAAUCAAUCACCUAAUUUAUAAAAUAUUAUAUAUCAAUUUUGAUAAACUUUAUUUCAUACGUUUGGUAUUGCUAACAUCAUGUAUAUUUAUUGUCCGUAAAUGGAUCUCGAUAGGCUAUAAUUUUUGAUAAAGCAUUCCUAUGAUUAAAAAUAAAAAAUAGUAAGUUUANNNNNNNNNNNNNNNNNNNNNNNNNNNNNNNNNNNNNNNNNNNNNNNNNNNNNNNNNNNNNNNNNNNNNNNNNNNNNNNNNNNNNNNNNNNNNNNNNNNNNNNNNNNNNNNNNNNNNNNNNNNNNNNNNNNNNNNNNNNNNNNNNNNNNNNNNNNNNNNNNNNNNNNNNNNNNNNNNNNNNNNNNNNNNNNNNNNNNNNNNNNNNNNNNNNNNNNNNNNNNNNNNNNNNNNNNNNNNNNNNNNNNNNNNNNNNNNNNNNNNNNNNNNNNNNNNNNNNNNNNNNNNNNNNNNNNNNNNNNNNNNNNNNNNNNNNNNNNNNNNNNNNNNNNNNNNNNNNNNNNNNNNNNNNNNNNNNNNNNNNNNNNNNNNNNNNNNNNNNNNNNNNNNNNNNNNNNNNNNNNNNNNNNAAUUAAUUAAUAUUAAAAAUUUAUAUUAAAAUUUAAAAUUUCAUUAAGUUAAAAUUUUUAAAUAAUAAUAAAAUGAAGUUAGAAAAAUUAUUUUUGGAAGGUUUUACUAGUGCUGACUGCACAGUGAUGACUAUGCGCCAGGUGGAAUCCGACGUCAGCCGUAGUCCUCGCUUAAUCUCAAUUUACUCUCUUUCGCUCCAAAGUGAACCGAUUCACAUGCCUCCCUCCGCAUAACGUUCUCAAUCUCUCGUUUAAUAGUAAGGAUUUGUCCCAUGGAUCUGAUUCAUCGGCCAAUGAUCUUCUUCGACGAACUCUCAGUUUCCUUAUCGAACGAAUUCCAUCUCUACGUUGAAUUUUCUUCGCUUCUCUCUGGGUUUCUUCUGUAAUCCCCGCCAGUUGUUCGCUUGAAUGCUAGAAGUGGAUAAACAGCUGAGGAAAGUUUUCUCCGGCGGUUUGCAUUGGUUUCAGCGGGAACUGCAAGUGCAAAAUUGACUGAAAUUCUGUUUUUCCGAUUGAUAAUGCAGAUGGAGCCAUCGUCGUCAAUGGGUUCAAAUGCCGAGUCGAGUCUUCUGAAGGAAUUCUACAUUCCGACGUAUGUACUUGUACCGGAAUCGGAGGCGGUGAGCGUUACUGAUUUUCCGCAGUGUCCUGUUUUGGUGUUCAUCAACUCCAAAAGCGGUGGUCAGCUCGGUGGAGAUCUUCUCCUAACCUAUCGAUCCAUUCUCAAUGACCACCAGGUUCUGAUUACAUCUCAUGAUCCAGCCAUCUCUCUGUCCCUGUUUGAUUUCUGAUUGCAUGUUUCUUUCAGGUUUUCGAUUUAGGGGAGGAGACUCCUGAUAGUGUGCUGAGAAGGGUAUAUGUGAACAUUGAGAAGCUCAAGUCCGGCGGUGAUGGGUUUGCUGCCAAGAUUCAGGAGAGGUUGAAAAUAAUUGUGAGUUUGAUUUUUACAGGUGGCUUUUGGUUCAGUGUUCGCAGGAGUUAAGUUCUGAUGUGUAAGUUGGGUUGUUGUUUAGGUUGCAGGUGGUGAUGGAACUGCUGGUUGGCUUCUGGGUGUUGUUUGUGAUCUUAAGUUCCCUCAUUCUCCUCCAAUUGCAACUGUGCCUUUGGGAACUGGCAAUAAUCUUCCAUUUGCCUUUGGCUGGGUACGAUUAUUUCCAUUUCUCAGUAUUGUGAUGGAAUGUUCAUCGUUCAUAUGUGCAAUCUGUUGUCGAACCAGCUAGCAACUCGCGAUCAUUUGACGUUCUGUUCUUUGUUUGUAGGGAAAGAGGAAUCCUGGAACAGAUCGUCAGUCUGUUGUUUCCUUUCUUAAGGAGGUCAUGAAAGCAAAGGAAAUGAAGAUUGACAAGUGAGUUUGUGUAAUCCCCUUUGCUUCCCUGAAUGUUGAAUAUUUCAGGAUUACAUCCAAUGGAUAUCUAGCCUGUCUAUGGAUUGAAGUUACAGGAUGCUAAGUUUUUGCUGGUUUUGUAUGCGUAUUUCGAAUGUUUUCUCUUUGUCAAUUCAGCUGGCAUAUUAUGAUAAGGAUGAAGACCCCGAAAGAAGGUUCUUGCGAACCGAUUGCUCCUCUCGAGCUACCGCAUUCUCUGCACACUGUUCAUCGUGUCUCUUCAUCAGAUGAAUUCAACAAGGUAAAGAUAGUAUAUAUGUUGCAUUUCUGUUCACUAUAUGAUAAGGAUAUGAAGAUAACAGGUAUUUGCUUUACGUUCAGGAAGGUUAUACAACAUUUCGUGGCGGAUUCUGGAACUACUUCAGCUUGGGUAUGAUUCCUCUCUGACCUACUUCAUGUACGCUUUAUCUGCUAAUCUAUCUGCUAAAAAAUGUGCCGUAUAUCUGUUUUCUACAGGCAUGGAUGCUCAAAUAUCCUAUGCAUUUCAUUCUGAGAGGAAACUGCAUCCUGAAAAAUUCAAGAAUCAGUUGGCUAAUCAGGUAGGUACCUUCAUGCUUACGUAUGAUGGACUUGUUCGAUUUUAGUUCGAUGAUCAUUUCCAAACCGUUCUGGUUUCUGAGGGUUAGAAUGGAAAUCUGGAUAGACCUUAAAAUUGGAACUGCAUGAAUCAAAAUGCUUGCUUAUGAUACGAUUCCCUUUCUUUCUUUCCAGAGUACUUAUGCCAAGCUUGGUUGUACGCAAGGAUGGUUUGCUGCUUCUGUAUUCCAGUCCGACUCGAGGUGAGGUUAUGUCAAGGUUUAGAACCCGGUUUUCGAUCUUACUUGUGAUUACAUCAUCUAUAAUACUCCUGCAGAAUAGCAAGCUUGGCGAAGGUGAAAGUCAUGAAAAAAACAGGGCAGUGGGAAGAUCUAUCUAUAUCCAACAGGUUUUAAGCGCCUCUUAACGAAUCUCUUCAGUAUCGAAAACAGAGAAACAAUCUUUACCCUAACAUAAUCCUCAUUGCUGGUCUCUCUCUGGUCCACAGCAUAAGAUCAAUAGUGUGCCUCAACUUGCCCAGCUUUUCAGGCGGACUGAAUCCUUGGGGUACACCAAGCACUUGGAAACGCCGUGACGUGAGUUUCCUUUCCUUUUUCUGUUCACUAUUGCGGACCGAACCACUAAGACUGAUUCCUUAAAAUCAACAAAUCAAUGGUUGCAGCGAGACUUGACGCCACCUUAUGUCGACGAUGGGCGAAUCGAGGUUGUUGGGUUUAGAGACGCAUGGCAUGGACUCGUCUUGCUUGCUCCAAAAGGAAAAGGACACGGAACUCGCCUCGCACAGGUAACCGAAAUCUAAAACAUCAUUUCCGAGUAUGAUACCUUAAUGCGUGAACCUUUACAGGCACACAGAAUAAGGUUCGAAUUCCACAAAGGCGUUGCGGAUCACACGUACAUGAGGAUUGACGGCGAGCCUUGGAAGCAACCAUUGCCAACCGACGAUGACACGGUAGUCGUGGAGAUCUCUCACCUAGGCCAAGUGAAUAUACUAGCCACGAACGACUGCAGGUCAAAGAGCAUGACAGAUCCUUCAACUCCAAGUCACCCUGGCCGAGACGAAGACGACCAAGAUAGCGAGGAAGAUUGUGGAGAAGAAUUCAGGAAGUUCGGCGCAGCAGACACAUUCAAGAUGCCAGAUGAGUUCGACAUUUCCCAUCUUAGUUAAACUCUCUCAUUUAUGUUCUUCCAUUUCCCCCCCUUCUUCAUCAAUCAACUUAGUACAUUUUUGUGUUAACAUAGUAGGCAAAGAUGAACAAGAUAAUUCAUUCAUUAAUAUUCCCACAGGGAGCAGAACUGAUCUGAAUUUUGCAAGAACACAAAUUUUCUUUUUUGCAACAAUACCAGUUCCGAAACUGUGAAGACUGUAAAACAAAACUCUAUAUAGAAAGAAGAAUAGAACCAUCAUGGAGAGCCGUGUUAUCGCAGUUUUGGUCCUACUGGCCUACGUAGUUAGGCUGCGCCAAGCAGUUCUUGACUGCUUCGCUGGCCUUCUGCGAUUCUGCUGAUCUUUCCUCGCGCUUCUUCUUCUCCCUGGUCACGAGAAUGUUUAAUUUAAUGAGAUGAACAUACCCAAUAACAGGAAUAGGAAAAGGUAGUUAGUUUUUUUUAAGUUAUACCUUGCAACAUACUCCUUCAGCAACUCCUUUGCCUGGACUAGCUUCGAGAGUAGAUUGCGGUACACAUCAAGAUCUCGAUCCACACUCCUUUUGUCCACGUUGAGAGCUGCGCAUAGCUGUUUCAUACAAAAUGUAUGCUCAGUCAACACCACUUCAGUGAAAUUCUAGACCUUGAAAGCUAAUUCAAUAUGCACUGCUAAUGUUCUAAGGGAAUUCAAGAUCGAACCUUCUCCAACACAGUGGGCUCCGUAGCAUUCGAAAGCUCGAGAAGGCGGAAGAGCCCAACAGCAAAGAACCGGCUGUAACUGAAUUUGCCAGCCGCAGCUCUUUCCGCAAUAGCUUUCAACAUACCCUCAACUUCACCGUCUCUCGAAGGAAACUCAACCAAUGAAGCAGCAGUCUGAGCCCUCGCCCAUUCCUCGAGCUUGUUAGCAUCAUUUCUGCACUUCCAAAUUCACCAAGAACCAAACUAAAACAACAAAGAAUCUCUUCAUCCAGCGAAGCCAACUUGGCCAAUCAAAAUUAGAGUACCUGUAUUGCUCAGGUUCCUCCUGCAAUGCCCUAAUAUAAGCUUGGAAGAUGAUCUCCCGAUCCCCAUCGACUGGGUAUCCUUCCAUUAGCUUAUCGUAGACGGUCACGAACCCAAGUGCAAACACGGAGUCGUAAGAGUACGUCUUCUUGUACUUGAUCAAAUGCUGCUGCACGAUCAGCUCCUGGAGAACGUUGUUGUAGAUGCUAGGGAUUGGCUUCUUAUACGCUUUGAGGAAAUUCAGCUUCGUCUCUGCCACUGUUGGUAAAUCUGCAACCAUCCAAUCAAGCAAUUGCAAGUGCAUUAGUUUAACCUAGAAUCAUUUCCACAUUUUACAGUUACAAGUCGCCCCUCCUGAUGAGAUCAGCUAGACCGAUUCAAACUACGAACUAUACUAUACUAUUUCUAGAAUCUUUGAUUCCGAUUCAGCAAACUUCAAAUUCAAAGAACAGGAAAACGGAGGAAUCACCUGCAGAGGUGGACAUGCAGCGGACGUCGAUGGCGGAGGAGCUAGAACUACGGAGGCGAGCGGAGGCGGAAACUCGGAAACGGAAGGCUUCGCAGGUGGAGAAAGCUAACGAGCGGCUAAAGGAGGAGGAUGAGGAGGACCUGGAUUCGGCGGUGGAGUGACCAAUCGCCGGCGAGAAGGAGACGGAAGUGAGUGCCGCCAUUUCCACAGUCGUAUCAGUUUGUCGCGAGGAACGAGGAGUUUCAGAGGAGGAAACGAAAGAAUGGUAAAGGAUUGAAAUCUGUACGACUGAGAAUCUCAGCUCAUUGGAGAGGAGAAUUGAAGAAGAUGAAUUGCAUUCCCUGUUCCUCUGUGAGUUCUUGCGGAAUUUGGGUGGACUGAGAAGGAAGGAGGGAUUAUCCAGCAAACAUUACUCUGAAAUGUCGUUUUUAUUUUUAUUUUAAAUUUUAGUUCGGUAGGAUCUUGACACGUAGGUGAGAGAGUCUGAGAGUGAUCUUUGUUUGUGUGGCUGUGGUUUUUGAGCCAGCUGGACUUAGGAUCCACCACGUCAUGGCACUAAGGGUCCCGCCCAUUGCAGCCAGCUCGGCGUUAGAACAGCCAGCUAUAAACGGUGCUGUUUUGGCCUCUUUUCAUUCUCUCUAAUCUCUUCCAUGUGUCCAAAAUGAAACUUUGUAAAGAUGAAGACUGAAGAGUAGACUAAUGGUUGAACUUGUAAUUUCGAAAUUUAUAUAUACGGAUAAGUGAGAGUUCACGGUGUAGUUUAAAUUCAAUAAAAUUACAACGCAAAAGAGGUCAAUUGCGGUUUGGUCUCUGCUUAGUUCUCUUACACUAAUUGGACCCAAAUCCCUCAAGGUCUACUUGUGGAGCUUCUCAAACCUUCUUUAUCUUAACGCAAACAUGUUUUAACUAUCGAUGUAAUCAAUUUGAAGGAGUCUCUCACAGUCUCUAGUAUUAGGAUAUGUAAACCAACAUUUAUGUCAAAUGAUCAAUCCUUAAUCGACGAGGUUACCGACACUAAAGGAAUACUUCUCUUGCAGUAUCGCGCAUCUUUGAACAAGCUUUCUUUCGUGCCCGCAGACCGCAAUAGAAACCAUCAUUCAUGGAACCAAUUGAGCAAACAUGUCCCCAAUAAAUGCUCUUACAUUUCUCCCGAACUCGAAUUUAAUGAGAAUCUCAAGCUACUGGUUCUUCUCCAAUUUCCUUCAAUCAAUUUCUGAAACCUUUUACCUGUCCUGCUCUCAUUGCACAAACACAAAAGCCAGUCAGAAGUACCCUCAACCGAAAGAAAAGAACCAACAGUUAAACAACAGAGAAAAAGACCAAGCAACCAAAAGGUUAUAGAAAACUACAAAGAAAACUGUAAAAAAAAACCAAGUACAGUACAGCAGAACAUUUCUUAAAUUGAUCAAAGAAUCCUUCAAUCCUUAUCCAUCUUUAGACUUCAAACGUGUCCAUUCUAUCCAAACACUCACAUGGACACUUUAGAGCCAGAGUGAUUAUGGCACCAACGUGCUAACCAAAAAUCUCUUAACUUAUUAAUCCUUCUGAACCAAUGGUGGUCACUGGGACAGCACAGCAUCCCCUAUAUAUAAACCUAUGUACUUGUGUUAGUGAACUGCUGUCAUAGCUUAUAAAAUUACAGAUAGGGGAGGAUUCUUUCUGGAUGCACUCCACCAAGAAUCCAGGCUAGAUCUUGGCUGGUGUGUUGAUUACCAUAAUCUUGCUUUAAACAAUGCUCUGAAACUUUGCUUGCACAUGAUCCGAUUACUUAACUCAGUUUCCCAAACCCCAUGGCAAAACCCUACUGGUGGUGAGUUUAGAGUUUAAACCCUGGUUAUGCAGUUUACUGGGGUUUAGUGCACUGUUCAAUAAACUUGUAUUGUUUAAGCAUGCUUCAUAUAUGGCAGUGAUUGAAUGGUGGAUGAGGAAAUAGAAAUUUGUGUUGUUACAACUUCCGUUGUUGUUGCCAAACAUGAAAGGAGGUUGGAUCUUGACCCGAAUAAGUUUUUUCCGAAUCGGCACCAGACGCCAACAAUCGUUAAUUAGGGAUGAUCUGGAGGUGAUUCACUGAUUCAUCCGUGGCACGAUAAUUUGAAUAAGCCUCAUCCUUAAUCCGGACCAGAUACAAAAUAACAAUAACUAUGAAAAGGCGUGUUGUUACAACUUCCAUCGUUAUGCCAAAUUUGACGUGGUACACUAGAUUGCAUUACAAAAAAAAUCCGUUAAUUUUUACCUGAAUUUGUUGUUCUAGCACUCAGGAAAAAGGUUAGACCACGACUCAAACAAGCCUCUUCCGAAAUCCGCACCAAACACCAAUUAUGAGUAACUUGAGGAUGAAUUGAAGAUGACUUAUAUGUACCACCUUAACCCAUAAAAGUUAAUACCGAUAACUCGAAAUCGAAUCUAAUAAUGAUUGAUCGUGCCACAAACUCAACCUUCCUUAAAAUUCAAAACUUCGAAAAACCAUCAUAUAUUUCAACGUAGUUGGCACAUUUUAUUUCGAUUUCAAAUAACCCCUAAGCAGUAAUUUCGAAGUCCACACCACCCUAUCAACGCUCAUAGAUAUGAUCAUCCAAUGUAAUUGGAUGGAUGAACAUAACUUUUCUUGUUUGACUGAUUCUCACCAUUCAAAACAAAUGGUCUCCCCCCCAAUUCCUCUUUUCUUACAGUAAAAAAUGUUCAUUAUAAUACUGAGAAUCAGAAUACCCCACCGUGGGUUUUGACGCCAUAUGCCGGCAUACAGAUCUUUGGCAAUCUGCUGCAGUAGCUUUUCCUUCAUAUAUUAAACUAUUAACACAAGUUUUCCUCCAUGCCUAUAUAAGAAGAAGGCUUAGUUAGUUACCAGUCAGAUUAGCCAAAAAAAAUCUAUUUUUUUCUCCCUAUACUGUGUAAAUGAACCUGAUAAGGAACAGAAUUAAGGAGCUUUUCAAUCCACAAGAGAUGCAGACGGCAUCAGCAGCCACUGAAGACAGUACUACUACUACUUCGAGGAAUGCGAGCAAGAAGCAGAGGAUCAGCAUCAGAGGAGGGUUCAUAAGCUACAAGGAAGACCCAGCAAGAAGCAUCGACGAGUUCAAGCUCAAACAGGCUGAGGAGUCUCUCAGAACUGUCAUGUACCUCAGCUGCUGGGGCCCUAACUAACUCCUGUAAUUAUCUGAUUCUGUAAUACUCAGUAGUAAUGUACUGAUCUGUGUGUUCUUGUAAGUUUGUGAAUAUUGGCUCUUCUGGUAUAAAAAUCUAACAUAAGAGCUACUCUCUGCAAAAAGUUGACUGCAAAAGAGUGGUUUAUCCAUAUGAUAUGUGGAAUUUGAGGGAAAUGCUAAAUCUCUUAUGAAUCAGCUUCAAGUUUACUGUUUUACUGCACUUGCUUUCCUGGGUCAACUUGGUUUAUAUGUACAUAAGGACACAGUGUUUGACCUCCAGCUGUUAUGAGCCAUGACCGAAUUAGCAGUGGGCGAGUCAGGCCAUUCUUGAGGCUUUUUCGGUUUCAAAGUGAUGAAAUUUGUGUAAAAUUUUCGAACUUUCAAGAUCCAGCGUCGAAUUUCUCCUAUGUUGAUUGUUUCGUUCAUAACUUUGGUUAAUUAGCAAAAGGAAAAAAAUACAAAGGAAGAAAGAACAGGAAGAUAAUCACUCUGCUGAAAUUCCCUUCAUUUUGCAGUAGAAAGAACCGAGUCAAGAUCCCAGAACUGACAUUUCUACAUUAAAGCUACAGGCUUUGGUCGUGUUGGAAUUACAUCGUUACAAAACCAGUCGUUCAAAAUGCUAAUUGAACAACACAGAGAAAGACAGAAGCUUCUAGAGAGAAGGGAAAAACAGGGGAUAAAGCUUUCCAACGCCGUUGGAGAGAUUAUUAUUAACAACGGUUUCUAUUUGUUUUCUUCAAACUAAGUGAGGACCCCAGCAAACGACAUGCAAGAUCCGCUCAGCUCGUUCAGCUUCUCUUGUUGGAUUCGUCUUUCUCCUCUGAAAUCCACCAUGACCAACUUCCUCUGUUGUCUGGUCUUUCUUCUCCUCUGUUCUGCCUGAAAAAGAAAACGAAGGAGAAGAAACCCACCAUCUCCCCUGAGUCUCGCCGGAUUCCGCCACCUGAGAAACUUCCACUCCAGUCAUCUUCUCUUUCCUUCUAAAACCCACUCUCUUGAUCUCUAUCUCUUCCCUGCUCUACGCAGAACUUUAAAAGCUAAAGAUGGGGGGGGGGGGGGGCGCGGGGGGGGGGGGCGCUGUUUCAGAAAACCUGGAGGUUUUGUGGUGAGAAAUUGGAGUUGCAGAGAGGGGUCCAAUGAUUUAUAUAAGGUGGUGGGGAAACAACUAAGACAGAUGGUUGGUUUUCGUUUUAAAUUAUAAUUUUGGAUUUUUGUUUUCUGGUUUGAAAUUGAAAACUCGAUAGGCUUGGCUGAGGUUCCAAGGUACAGGGGAAGGGGAGGAAGAAAGAGUGGUUAAAGGGAAGUUCUUG